CUAAAUAUCUGCUUUUUUUUCCUUCUUUUUUUGUACUGAAUGAGUCGACGUGGCAAGCGAGCGGCGCGAAGACGUGUCACCGCCUUGCGAGCUUCAAUUGGCUGCUGAUGACAUGCUAGGAGGGCCCAAACACUUCAUACUUGCAAACUGGGCAGGUCUGUUUCACAAACAGUUGAGCACAUAUCAGCAACUGCACUUUUGCACAAAGCCAUGACUUUUCUCUAACCUUCGGCAAAAGGGCAAGGUUAUGAUGUUCUCCCGGUUUCUGAAAGCUGACAGGCACACAGUACAAGUGCUGCAUCCAUUGGUUGAAAUAACAGAGAGAUUCAUCAGUGACAAAGAGAGAUUUACUGCCAAAAGAUUUAACUAAUUUCCAGCAAUACACUAGUGAUUAAUUAUCAUCAGUAAGGAUUUCAUAUUUGAUCGAGAAGGUUGUGGACUCACUCAUCAUGGUUUGUCUUCCUUGAGAAGAACCCUGAUCCUGACCUGUACUUCCAUGGCACCAAGUAUGACAGGAGCUCAUCAGAUAAACCUCUGCUCUCAUUCCCCACUGAUUCCACCAGUUCCUGCCUUUCCUGGAUUAUUUUGCAGAAAAAAGGGACUGGAAUAAUCAGCAAUCAAAAUUUCUGACAAAACAACCAACCGCGGCGUGCUAUUUAUUGACAAAGAAAUCUCGCGUUCCAAACGGGGCCUUUACAGGUAACAGAAAAAGAAACUGUGGGACAUUCAUUGAAGACAAACCUCAUAUGUCAUGUUGUCCGGAUCAACAUCGUCGUCGGUGUCGUCGUUGUCAUCAUCAUCCUGCCUAGCAGCCUGCAAACCGGCCUCAGAAUUUUUAGUUUGAUGCAAGCUGCAGAUAACUAGCUUAACAAGCAAGCAACUACAAAUAUCGGUUCGUGUAAUAAAUCACCUCCUCUUCGUCGCCGCGAUCAUCAUCGUCAUCGGUGUCGGAUGGGGAAGGCACACAGCUUAUAUCUGAAUUUAAGCCACACAAGACACCAAUAUAUCAGAUGAUGAUCAGCAAACAUCAUGUGCCUUGGCUGAACUGAAUCAAAAGCAUCGCGUACCGUCUUGUUCGUCGUUGUUGGGAGGCGUGUUCACAUCCAGAUCCUCCAUCUCCUGCAGCAUCCUGGCGUAUUUGAGGUCGGCCGCGAUCUGUUCAUCUGAAGUUCCUGAGGUUUCUGCUGCUGUGCCUCUGCUGCUCUCUCCAUGACAGCAAUGCAUGCUCCAAGAUGCACCAGGGGCCCCUGUGCCGAAGGAUUGGUGCAGGCCCUCCUAAGAAAACAAAUCUGAACUGUUACUUUUGAAAAAAAAAGGUUUCAGUUGACCAAAGAAUUUUCCUUGAAAAGUGCAGAUGCUAAUAUGAAGCGUACCUGGUGUUGAAGGACAUCACCGAUCACAUACUCGAGGAAGUCAUCGUGGUUCGCAUCGUCGCCGGCGGUGCUGCUGUAGUGCACGGUGAUCCUCCGGAAGGCGCCAGGCGGCCCGACGGUGGCCAUGGCCGCCGGCGUCAGGCAGCAACCACCGAUCGACAAAGGCGCGGAGCGGAAUCGAAGCGCAGAGCUCCGUUGCGAUGAAGAGGAGAAAAGGGGGGAAGGAGGAAGAAUCAUGAACAGGAGGAUUGAUUGGAAGAGAUGCUUACUUUUUCUCCGUUUCUUCAGAGCCUGAUGAUGAUCUCCCUUUCCUGCUCUUCUCCUCUCUUCUCUUCUCUUCUCCCAGCUGAGCUCUCACCUUCUCAAGGUUGGAUGGUUGGGUGCUUUGUUAAUGAGGGUGGGUGGUUGGUUAGCUCCCUCCAAAGUGCUUACUUAUAUAUACGCGGACCGCCUGCUCUCGCCGUCUCUGUUUUUUCUAGAAAAAAGAGCUGUAGAGGAGGCCCCGCCCGGUAUACAAAUUUAAGAACAAAUUAUAAAUAUAUGCGCGGGAAAUGUACAAAAUGUGUAGAGGGAGAAAGAGACUAGGCCUAAAGAUAAUCCUCCUGUCUCUGUUCACUGCAUGCCCCAACUGAACUAACUGUUGAUGAGCUUUCAUCUCAGAUUUUAUGAUCUGCCUUUAUUUUCUUCCUCCUUCCUUUCUUUUUACCUUUACAUAUGUUAACCACAUUAUUUUUUACCUGUACAUAUGCACUAGGAACUCCUGGUAUUUCCCAUCAAUGAAAAAACUAGUUAUAGAUUAACACAUGUAUUAGGUCAGAAAGAGAUCUGACUUAGGCCUGAAGAUAUCCUGUCCCUAUCCUUCACAGGUGGCAAGCAAAAGGUUCACUGCAUACUCCAACUGAACUAAAUUAUAGUGUUCAACUCAGGAUUGUCUUGUUGAUCAGUUGUUAUGUGUGAUAAUUGUGCUUAAGGUUAUACCAGUUCCAGUUGUGAACAGCUGCAUGAUCACAACUGGCUUGUCCUGACCUCACCUCGAUGACUUGGCACAGCUGCGUCAUCAGGCGGGUCGUCGACGUUGCUGUUCGUUGCAGCACCGGCGUCGACUCCAAAGUCUCCUCUCCUGACCGUAAUGAUCAUCAUCCACCACAUGUUGCUUGAUUUUGAGGCUUUAUUAUUUGUUUAGUUUAGCGGUAGUUGUGGCUCCUGUGGUUGUUAACUAGACGCGUCACAUGGGGCUGAAUUCAGACAGAGAUUUUAUGCUCUUGGGAUCAUAAUAAAAACCGCCUGUAGCUUCCUUGAAAUUGCAAAAUAUUACUGGCAAUAAUGCAGACAUCCCUCUGAAUCUAGGAGCAUGUUCAUGGACCUGCAUCUAACAGCAUAUUUUAUCCUCUUGUAUGAGACAGUAUAGAACAACACCGUAAUAUACGGUUCCUAAUUAGUACAUGAUUAGUUAGCUCCAUCCAGGCCAUGUGCAAACACACUUGGUUAAGAAGUUUGCUAUGUUCAAUGCUGAUCUGCCACUGGGUGCUACAAGUGUGUGAAGAAUCUUGACAGGUUCAAACCAGACACUGACAUGAUAAUUAACACACAUGAUUAGGUAGCUAUCCCUUUCGUGGCCCCUCCCUCGCCCAAUCAGCACCGGUCUUAUGUGACUAAGAGCACCGACCACGCAACCGAUUUCGACAUCUCGUGUCAAAGAAAUCUUUGCGGGACAGAUUUUCUGAGUAGUGUUGAUCUCAACUUCUCAAGUGUCGACACCGGAAGAUUGGGUGCCAAGAAAAAUGGCAAGGACUUGGGGCUCAGGGUCAACAGUUAAGUAAUGGUGAUGAGUGUUGGAGGAUGCCAAUCUGAUUCAGCUUUGCGCCUAAUACAAGUGGAAGGAGGCAAGAUGUGUGAGAUCAUAGCUAACUGCUGAUGUGCAUAGCCUGGUAUUAUAUGGGCAGUGAGGAUGUCAAGCUGAUUCAGCUUCUUGUGUUCCUAGUUCAAGCUGAGAGAAAGCAUGCAAGAUCUGUGAGAUCAUGGGUAAUGGCUGAUGUAUAUACUACUAUCAUGAGGAUGUCAAGCUGAUUCAGCUUCUUGUGUUCCUAAUUCAAGGUCUUUUUAGUGGUUUUCCAAAUUCAAGUUGAGAGAAGCAAGAUCUAUGAGAUCAUAGCUGAUGACUGAUGUAUGUGGCCUACGAUUAUAAAUGUGGACAGUAAGAUGUCAUUCUCCUCUCAUAAAAACCAGUGGCCUCCAAGUCUUCCCCUUAUCCCCUUUGUCCUCAACUUACCAUCAACACAGCCUAUCUGAUCUGGAUCGAUCUGCUUUUAAAUGGCAGGUAAUUAAGUAGACAACAUUAUCCCAGUGUUUAUAGAGGAAGAAAAGAACUUCUCUUAGUGGCAGAGGCAAAAAUGAAAAGUAAAUCUUGAAGUACGGAGAUUCAUUCGAGGAAAGUCGGACCCUGAAGUACGAGCGCGACGUGCCACAUCGAGCGCCUUGCGAUUCGAUGGCUCGAUUCGUCAUGUGAAAAUGACUUGGAUGGAAUUUGUUCUUUGCAGUCACUUUUGCCUAUCUAUCUAUCCAUCCAUCCAUCUAUCUGAAUCCUCAGCAUUGACCAGCGUGCUGCUCCAGCUGGUUCUGGACUGUGCCCUGUCUGUGUACAGUCAGUUCAUUUUCAGUUGCUUAUCAUGCCGGCCUUGUUUUCAGGUGUCGAUUUCGCCAUUUUGAGGAUGAAAUGAAAUGCACCUUUCUUGGGAUGAACUUAUCUUUGCUUGCGAUCUUCCUGGUGGUCCAGAUUCAUCCAGCAGCUCGGCUCGUCUGCUUUCUUCUUCCUCUCGCUCCUUGUUGUCUCCGCUCGUCGUUUUCGAUCGCGUCGUCCCCGUGCCCGGAUCAGGUGCACCAUGU